CUUAUUGUAUUGGAAUUUAGCGCC
rnacentral:siRNA from 1 species